AGCGCAGGCGGGAGAACAAGUUGGAAGUGAAAUCCAUGGGCUCAACCUGGGAACUGCGUUUUGAACUGGGUAACUAGAGUGUGUCAGAGGGGGGUAGAAUUCCACGUGUAGCAGUGAAAUGCGUAGAGAUGUGGAGGAAUACCGAUGGCGAAGGCAGCCCCCUGGGAUAACACCGACGUUCAUGCUCGAAAGCGUGGGUAGCAAACA
rnacentral:rRNA from 1 species